rnacentral:tRNA from 2 species
AAAUCCGUCGAAUUUUUAAUCGUGAGGGUUCAAGUCCCUCUAUCCCCA